UACGGAGGGUGCAAGCGUUAUCCGGAUUCACUGGGUUUAAAGGGUGCGUAGGUGGGCAGGUAAGUCCGUGGUGAAAUCCCCGAGCUUAACUCGGGAACUGCCGUGGAUACUAUUUGUCUUGAAUAUUGUGGAGGUAAGCGGAAUAUGUCAUGUAGCGGUGAAAUGCUUAGAUAUGACAUAGAACACCAAUUGCGAAGGCAGCUUACUACACAGUUAUUGACGCUGAGGCACGAAAGCGUGGGGAUCAAACAGG
rnacentral:rRNA from 1 species